ACUUAGUGGCAAACGCUCUGCUUGGAUUCAUCAGAAGUCUUGUUGCCAGAUGCUCGUCUACCUGGAUAGUGAAGAACAACAGGACAAGCUUUUUGCAUUCUAAAGACUGUACUGCACAGAGGACCAACACAACUGAGCUUCACAGAUGAAGUGCUGUUCAUCUGUCAUGUUCUCUUUCCAGAGGCCAUCAUAUAUGACCUGUCUAUGCAGGACAAUCUGUCCCUGCAGGAGGCUGAGCAGGUCUUCUUCAGUGGUCCAGCUUACCAUCAAAGUGAAGUGGAGGAAUUUUGUCAAAGGAUUAAAAAAGACCUGAAGAAAGAAGGCAGACUGUUCAGUUGGAGGAAGUGAGAUCAGAGGUUUUGCAGUGGGAGCCAUAGACUUCACUUACUUUUGUGUGUGUGUGUGUGUGUGUGUGUGUUCAGCUUUUACUUUUUUUCAUAUUAUUGUGUAAAAUAAAUAUAU